GAAGGGGGCUAGCGUUGUUCGGAAUUACUGGGCGUAAAGCGCGCGCAGGUGGUCUUUCAAGUCAGUGGUGAAAGCCCGGAGCUCAACUCCGGAAAUGCCAUUGAAACUGUAAGACUUGAGGAUGAGAGAGGUGAGUGGAAUUCCCAGUGUAGAGGUGAAAUUCGUAGAUAUUGGGAAGAACACCGGUGGCGAAGGCGGCUCACUGGCUCAUAUCUGACGCUCAGGCGCGACAGCGUGGGGAUCAAACAGGAUUAGAUACCCUGGUAGUCCACGCCGUAAACGAUGAAUGCUAGCCGUUGGGCAGCUUGCUGUUCAGUGGCGCAGCUAACGCAUUAAGCAUUCCGCCUGGGGAGUACGGCCGCAAGGUUG
rnacentral:rRNA from 1 species